AGGGCGCACGGUGGAUGCCUUGGCACUAGAAGCCGACGAAGGACGUUACUAACGACGAUAUGCUUUGGGUAGCUGUAAGUAAGCGUUGAUCCAGAGAUUUCCGAAUGGGGGAACCCAGCACGAGUUAUGUCGUGUUAUCGACAAGUGAAUUCAUAGCUUGUCAGAAGGCAGACCCGGAGAACUGAAACAUCUUAGUAACCGGAGGAAGAGAAAGAAAAAUCGAUUCCCUGAGUAGCGGCGAGCGAAACGGGAAGAGCCCAAACCAAUAAGCUUGCUUAUUGGGGUUGUAGGACACUCUAUACGGAGUUACAAAGGAAUAUAUUAGACGAAUCAUCUGGAAAGUUGAAUCAAAGAAGGUAAUAAUCCUGUAGUUGAAAAUAUAUUCUCUCUUGAGUGGAUCCUGAGUACGACGGAGCACGUGAAAUUCCGUCGGAAUCUGGGAGGACCAUCUCCUAAGGCUAAAUACUCUCUAGUGACCGAUAGUGAACCAGUACCGUGAGGGAAAGGUGAAAAGUACCCCGGAAGGGGAGUGAAAGAGAACUUGAAACCGUGUGCUUACAAGUAGUCAGAGCCCGUUAAUGGGUGAUGGCGUGCCUUUUGUAGAAUGAACCGGCGAGUUACGAUCUGAUGCAAGGUUAAGCAGGAGAUGUGGAGCCGUAGCGAAAGCGAGUCUGAAUAGGGCGUUGAGUAUUUGGUCGUAGACCCGAAACCAGGUGAUCUACCCAUGGUCAGGUUGAAGUUCAGGUAACACUGAAUGGAGGACCGAACCGACUUACGUUGAAAAGUGAGCGGAUGAACUGUGGGUAGCGGAGAAAUUCCAAUCGAACUUGGAGAUAGCUGGUUCUCUCCGAAAUAGCUUUAG
rnacentral:rRNA from 1 species